rnacentral:rRNA from 1 species
CUACAGCGAACAUUCGCACAUAUUCGGAAGGAACCCCACGGGCGAAGGCCGGUUAACGGGCUCGAUACGGACGCUGAGGUACGAAAGCGUGGGGAGCCAACAGGACCAGAUACCCUCGUAGUCCACCCGGUAACCGAUGAAUGCUAGUUGUCAAGUAGCUUGCUAUUUGGUGACGCAGCUAACGCAUUAAGCAUUCCGCCUGGGGAGUACGGUCGCAAGAUUAACACUCAAAGGAAUUGACGGGGGCCCGCACAAGCGGUGGAGCAUGUGGUGUAAUUCGAAGCAACGCGCAGAACCUUACCAGCCCUUGACAUUUGGCGCUACAACCGGAGACGGUUGGUUCCCUUCGGGGACGUCAGGACAGGUGCUGCAUGGCUGUCGUCAGCUCGUGUCGUGAGAUGUUGGGUUAAGUCCCGCAACGAGCGCAACCCUCGCCCUUAGUUGCCAGCAUUUAGUUGGGCACUCUAGGGGGACUGCCGGUGAUAAGCCGGAGGAAGGUGGGGAUGACGUCAAGUCCUCAUGGCCCUUACGGGCUGGGCUACACACGUGCUACAAUGGCGGUGACAGUGGGCAGCGACCUCGCGAGGGGAAGCUAAUCUCCAAAAGCCGUCUCAGUUCGGAUUGUUCUCUGCAACUCGAGAGCAUGAAGUUGGAAUCGCUAGUAAUCGCGUAACAGCAUGACGCGGUGAAUACGUUCCCGGGCCUUGUACACACCGCCCGUCACACCAUGGGAGUUGGUUUUACCCGAAGGCGCUGGACUAUCUCGCAUAGGAGACAGGCGAC